rnacentral:other from 1 species
AAAUGCCUGGGAUACGCGCCACCCGAAUAUGUCCAACCUACAUUGAAUAAAAGGGAGUCCGGUGCCCGUGCGGCUGUCGGGCCGCCUCUGAGCGGAUGGCAAAAACACGGCCAGGACACCCACCUGCGAGAAGCGGGUAUGGACAUACCGGGAACGGUAUCGCGGGCGCUGA